AUGGAGCAGAGGGCCGCGGGCGGCGUUCUCCGACGGUCUCUCAGGCUCGGGCUGCCGAGAACCGUGAGGGCCCUGAGCACCAGCGCCACUACGCCGGCCGCGGCGGCGGAGGGAGAGGCGGCGGCCAAUGCGAGAAGGAACAAGAAGAAGAACCUAUUCGACGUGGCGCAGUUCCUACCGGACUGGGGCGUCGGCUACAGGCCGCCAAGACCACCUGGCGCGACGUCUCCAACCAGAUCACCAAGAUCAACCUCUACAAGAUAUGUAUUGAUGCAGGAUGGCCGCCACGGGAAGGCGUGGGGGAUUCGGCACAAGGACGGCGUGCAAGCAGCCGGCAUUCCGAUAAGAAUCAGUAGGGUUAACAAACGUGGUUGGAAGUACAUAAAGGCGCCGUUGGAAGAUAUCCCUGGAGCAGAGCCGCCAUCCGUCACCGCUGCUUAG
rnacentral:rRNA from 1 species